rnacentral:rRNA from 1 species
ACUCCUACGGGAGGCAGCAGUGGGGAAUAUUGGACAAUGGGCGGAAGCCUGAUCCAGCAACGCCGCGUGAGGGAUGACGGCCUUCGGGUUGUAAACCUCUUUCAGCUCCGACGAAGUUGCUCCUUUUUGGGGGUGGUGACGGUAGGGGCAGAAGAAGGACCGGCCAACUACGUGCCAGCAGCCGCGGUAAUACGUAGGGUCCGAGCGUUGUCCGGAAUUAUUGGGCGUAAAGGGCUCGUAGGCGGUUUGUCGCGUCGGGAGUGAAAACACCGGGCUUAACUCGGUGCUUGCUUUCGAUACGGGCAGACUAGAGGUAUGCAGGGGAGAACGGAAUUCCUGGUGUAGCGGUGAAAUGCGCAGAUAUCAGGAGGAACACCGGUGGCGAAGGCGGUUCUCUGGGCAUUACCUGACGCUGAGGAGCGAAAGUGUGGGGAGCGAACAGGAUUAGAUACCCUGGUAGUCCACACCGUAAACGUUGGGCGCUAGGUGUGGGAUCCAUUCCACGGGUUCCGUGCCGUAGCUAACGCAUUAAGCGCCCCGCCUGGGGAGUACGGCCGCAAGGCUAAAACUCAAAGGAAUUGACGGGGGCCCGCACAAGCGGCGGAGCAUGCGGA